GACGUAGGGCGCGAGCGUUGUCCGGAUUUAUUGGGCGUAAAGAGCUCGUAGGCGGCUUGUCGCGUCGGAUGUGAAAGCCCGGGGCUUAACUCCGGGUCUGCAUUCGAUACGGGCAGGCUAGAGUUCGGUAGGGGAGAUCGGAAUUCCUGGUGUAGCGGUGAAAUGCGCAGAUAUCAGGAGGAACACCGGUGGCGAAGGCGGGUCUCUGGGCCGAUACUGACGCUGAGGAGCGAAAGCAUGGGGAGCGAACAGG
rnacentral:rRNA from 1 species